rnacentral:lncRNA from 1 species
AGAUGCUCAAUUCUUCUGAGCAACGAAGGCCACACGGAGUCCUGGAUUCUGUGUGGCCUGGCAUCCAUGGCGCACUGUGUGCUGGCAGGUGGCUCAGGACGGGGCAGUUAUCAUGGGACACCCGCCAUAUGCUGGCAAGGAAGAUGGUCAGUUCUUCUGAGCCACAAAGGCCCCCAACAUCCUGGAGUUGGUGUUGCCUAGCAUCCACGGUGCGCCCCCUGCUGGUGGAUGGCUCAGGAUGGGGCAGUUGCCGUGGGAGGCCCGCUGCCUGCUGGAAGGAAGAUGGUCAGUUCUUCUGAACCACAAAGGCCCUGCAGAGUCCUGGAGUCUGUGUGGCCUGGCUUCCAGGGUUCACCUCAUGCUGGUGGAUUGCUCAGGAUGGGUGCCGAAGGUCUUUAAGGUCGUCAGCUCACCUACUGCCCAGCCUGUGGUGUCAAAUGUCCUGCCUCUUCAAAUGUGUUUGGAUCGAUGAUGAGUCCCCCCAAAAAAACAUUCCUUGGAAAAGCUGAACAAAAUGAGUGAAAACUCAUACCGUCGUUCUCAGCGGAACUGAGGUCCAGCGCGUUGCCUCCAGCAGGGACUGUUGGAGUGAGGGAGAGCUUCCACUAGUCCCUAUAGGUUCCACCACCCAGGGCAUCCGCAGGGACAGUUGCCGUGGGAGGUCCGCUGCCUGCUGUCAAGGAAGAUGGUCGAUGCUUCUGAGAAACAGGCCCUGCGGGUUCCUGGAUUUGGUGUGGCCUGGCAUCCACGGUGCACCCCGUGCUGGCGGGUGGCCCAGGACGGGGCAGUUGCCUUGAGAGGCCCACCGCCUGCUGGCAUGACAGAUGGUCAGUUCUUCCGAGCAGUGGAAUCUCCAUGGAGUCGUGGAGUCGGUGUGGCCUCGCAUCCACAGUGCACCCUGUGCUGGUGGAUGGCUCAGGACACAGUUGUCAUGAGAGGUCUGCCGCUUGCUGGCAAGGAAGAUGGUCAAUUCUUCUGACCAACAGAGGCUGCCUUGAGUCCUGAUUUGGUGUGGCCUGGCAUCUAUGGUGCACCCAAUGCUGGGGCAGUUGCCGUGGGAGGCCUGCCGUCUGCUGAAAGGAAGAUGGUUGAUGCUUCUGAGCAAUGAAGGCCCCAUGGAGUCCUGGAUUCGGUGUGGCCUUGCAUCCGUGGUGCACCCCGUGCUGGUGGAUGGCUCAGGACGGGGCAGUUGCCAUGGGAGGCGCAGGCCUGCUGGAAGGAAGAUGGUCGAUUCUCCCAAGCAACAAAGGCCACGUAGAGUCCUGGUUUCAGUGUGGCCUGGUAUCCACAGUGCACCCCGUGCUGGUGGGUGGCUCAGGACGCACACUCAUUUCCUCUGCACCUUCCUGGUGUCAUUGGCAUGGAAGGAAGGCCCUUGUCCAAGAAGGAUGGUCUUCGUCUUGUGUGAUCUUUGAGAUGCCAUGAGGCCCCUGGAUACAAAUGGUGUGGGCUCCUUUGGAGGCUUUUGGAUUUCUCCUGAAUGUGGCGUUGGUAUGGAAGGAAGGCCAGUGACCGCAAGGGAUGACUUUGAUCUUGGGAGAUUUUUGGAGAUGGCAAAGUGCUUCUAAACAUGUUUGGCAUGGUCUCCUUCAGGCUGGUGGAUACCUCAGGAUGGUGGCGUUGGCAUGGAAGGAAGGACUGUGUCUGUGAGGGAUGAUCAUCCUCUCAUGUGAUCCUUGGAGAUGCCAGGAAGCCCCUUGACACAUGUGGCAUGGGCUCCUUCAGAGGCUUUUGGAUCCGUCGUGAAUGUGGCAUGGGCAUGCAAAGAAAGACAGAGGCUGCAAGGGAUAAACUUCAUCUUGGGAGAUCCCUGGAGAUGGCAGGGAACCCAUGGACACAUGUGGCAUGGGCUCCUUUGGGUGCCGGUGGAUCCCUUCAUACGGUGGUGUGGGCAUGGAAGGAAGGCCAGUGGAGACAAUGGAUGAUCUUGUUCUUAGCAGAUCACUGGAUGUGGCAGGGAGUCCUAGGACAUGUGUGGUGUGGGCUUCUUCAGGUGCUGGUGGUGUUGGCAUGAGGAAAGGAGGUAUCUUCGAGGGACAAUCUUCUUCUUGUGCGAUCCUUGGAGAUGCCAUGAGGCCCCUGGACACAUGUGGUGUGGGCUCCUUUGGAGGCUGUUGUAUCCCUUCUGAAUGUGGCGUGGGCAUAGAAGGAAGGCCAGUGGCCACGAGGGACAAUCUUGGUCUUGGGAGAUCCUGGAAAUGAUAGGGAGUCCCUUGAUAUGUGUGGCAUGGGCUCCUUCAGGUGCUAGUGGAUUCCUUAGGAUGGUGGUGUUGGCAUGAAAGGCAGGCUUGUAUCAUGAGGAAUGAUUGUCAUCUUGUCUGAUUCUUGGAGAUGGCAGGAAGCCCCUGGAAACACAUGGUGUGGACUCUUUCACAGGCUGUUGAAACCCUCCUGAAUGUGUUGUGGCCAUGGAAGUAAGGCCAGUGGCUACGAGGGACAGUCUUCAUCUUGGGAGAUCCCUAGAGAGGGCAGGGAGCCCCUUGACAUGUGGAAUGUGAUCUCUGUUGGGUGCUGGUGGAUCCCACAGGUGGUCUGGCAUGGAAGAAGGCCAGAGGCUGCGAUGGAUCAUCUUUGUCUUGGGAGAUUCCUGGAGAUGGUGGGGAGCCCCUGGGCACGUGCAGCAUAUGUGGCGUGGGCUUCUUCAGGUGCUGGUGGAUCCCUCAGGAUGCUUUUCAAGGUUUUUCUAUGAGUUCUGUUAAAGAGUCUGAAAAUGGAGCGUAGAAGACAUGCUUCGAUUUCCAGGAUGGUUGUGUUUUCCAGAGAGGCGGAGGUAAACCACUGGCGCAGCCCUGCCUCCCACAGAUAAUUCCGGGUGCAGUGUUUCAUAUCUAGACUUGGACUUCUAUCCUACCAUACUUCUUUGUGUGCAGUUCAUUGUGGAACCAGCACAGAUUUUCAUACGAAAGUUAUUUCUUUUUAACCUCAAAAAGUGACAGAAUGGAGUGUAUCAUGAAAAAGUCUGACAUCAAAACCUCAAAAUGUGAUAUUGAUUGGGUGAGAUAGAAUUCCAUGGAAUUUCAUUGCCAAACCAGUGAAGUGCUAAUUUUGACAUUUGUACCAGCUAACGUAGCUGUGAAGAAACACACCAAUACACUUCUAAGGACAGCAUAGACCAAGAUCUAGGUUUCAUAUGGAUGAAUUUAUUCUUCCCUUUGAGGCAAGACAAGAAGGAAAGAAAGUAUUGGGAAUAAUGCUGCCCUCCCAUCCUCAAGGGCCAGUGGGAACUCUAAUAUUGAUUGGUUUUCACAGAAUUCCAUGGACUUUAACUGCUGAACCAAUGAUGCACUGAUUUUGUCACUUGUACCAGCUAACGCAUCUGGGAGGCAACAAAACAAUACUCUCCUGAGGUUAAUGUGGACCAAAAACUAGAUUUCAUAUAAAAGAGUUUAUUCCUUCUACUUGAGGUGUGACAUGAAGGAAAGUAAUGGAAAUAAUUCUGCCCUCCCAUUCUCAAGGGCCAGGGGGAAUUCAAAUAUUGAACGGAAGUGAUUUUGGAAUUGCAUGGAAUUCUCACUGCCAUCCCAAAGAAAUGCUGAUCUUGUCACUCUUACCUGUUUCAUUCCCUGGGGGCAGAACAAAAGGACGCACUCCAAAGAUCGGCAUGAACCAAGAACUGGGUUUCAUAUAAAAUAUUUUAUUCUGUCCUCUUGAGAUGUGACAUGAGAAAAGUAUUGAGAAUACUUCUAUCACCUCAUCUUCAAGAAUCCGUAGGAAUUCUCCCAUGGUGGACUUUACGGUUAACCUGAACAGGUCUUGGAAAAAGGACUUUAAACAUUCUCCUGUUCUGUGGAAUAAGUAUACUUUUUUCUGGACAUACACCUUGUCAGUGAGUUCCAUGUGAUACUAGAGUUGCAUAGAUUUUUAACCUUUACGCCAAUGAAGAUCUGAGGCAAACAUUGCCCCUUUUUUAGAAGUUUGCAUUUGUCACUGAUAACUGUAAUAAUUGAUCUUGUUGAAAAGCCUGGGAAAUGAAGAUCUGAUAUGUCACUUUUACCGGCUUCCUCAACUGAAAAAGAAUACAAUGAAACACGCUGAGAAUUUUUGUGCUUUCUCAGUCUUGCUGAUGAUCUUUCUAUGGGCCUGAAGCGUGGAGAGUGCCAGAGAGGCUGAUCCUCAGCAGUGUGGCAGAGGAAAGUUGGGUGCGACUAAGGGGUAUGCGGUGCCCACAUGCCACUGGGUCCUCAGCAGUACCACCUGAUUGGAAGUGAUAUUGGUGGAAGACAACAUUUUGCCGCUUGGAAUUCUCACCUCCACACCAAAGAAGUACUGUUUUUGUCAUUUGCACCAGCUUCUUUCUCCAGGAAAGAUCAAAACGAUGCACUGCAAGUGUGAUUGGUCCAGAUAGCUGCCUUAUCCAACUGCCUCCUUUGGACCACUUCAUCAUGGGACAGCUUGAUGCAAUCUACUUGACAAGACCCUGGAACCCCACACCCCUCAUGGAACCAGUGUCCACCUCCCAGUCACAGUGUGACCCCAGGGAACUCUUGCCUGCUUGCUUUAAACCCACCACUUAAAAGUCUCCACAGAAAACCUGUUUGAAUAGUACCCUUGACCCAAUAAGGGCAUUGGCCCCUGGGUGUCUCUCUCUCUCUCUCUCUCUCUCUCUCCCUCUCUCUCCCUCUCUCUCUCUCGCUCCCUGACCUCUGCGUGUGGACUCCAGGCAUGCCAUAUACCCCUCAGGACCUG